CUGGCCCCACACCUUCGGCACAUGCGUGACUCAUGUGACAUCAUCUGUCUCCAGGUUUCCAGACUUCCCAGCCCCACCCUCCAGCGGCAGUAUUCCCAGCACCUAGAGCAAGACCCAACACGCAGUAUGGGAUCAAGUAAUGUAUGAGGAAUGAAAUGGAUAAGCAGCAACCCUGAAUAUAGAAUUGAACAAUAUUCAUAAUCACAACUCUCAGAAUCAAUGUCUGGUGCCCAUGAAGGAGAAGGAAAGAAGGGCAUCUCUCACCUGGAGAAGGAGUGAGUCUCCCAGAUGGCAGCAGGAGCCUGGCCCCCCUGGGAUGUGGCAGGCAGGAGGUCGGGGCUGGGCAAUGUCUUGGAGGAACUGAUAGCGUAUGAAGACGGCUUUGACUCCCUAAGGUUUCAUCCUUGACCAAUCAGCACUCCUGGCUCACUGGCUUCCCCCCACCCACCAAGUAAUCCUUAAAAACUCUGCUCCCUGAGAAUGCUCAGGGAGACUGAUUUGAGUAAUAAUAAACUCCAGUCUCCUGCACAGCCAAGUCUGCAUGAAUUACUCUUUCUCUAUUGCAAUUUUCCUGUCUUAGUGAAUCAGCUCUUCUAGGCAGCAGGCAAG